rnacentral:rRNA from 1 species
GGAAUCUUGGACUAAUGGGCGCAAGCCUGAUCCAGCCAUGCCGCGUGAGUGAUGAAGGCCUUAGGGUAGUAAAGCUCUUUCACCGGGGAUGAUAAUGACGGUACCCGGAAAAGAAACCCCGGCUAACUCCGUGCCAGCAGCCGCGGUAAUACGGAGGGGGCUAGCGUUGUUCGGAAUUACUGGGCGUAAAGCGCACGUAGGCGGAUUGGUAAGUUAGAGGUGAAAUCCCGGGGCUCAACCCCGGAACUGCCUUUAAUACUGCUAAGUCUUGAGUUCGAGAGAGGUGAGUGGAAUUCCGAGUGUAGAGGUGAAAUUCGUAGAUAUUCGGAGGAACACCAGUGGCGAAGGCGGCUCACUGGCUCGAUACUGACGCUGAGGUGCGAAAGCGU